rnacentral:misc_RNA from 1 species
ACAGGCACUCCUUUCCUCUCCUCCAGGCAGACGUCUAAAGAUUUCAAAAAGACAUUCAUCUGGCAGAACUUCAAUAGAUGCUUGCCUUUUCUGCUCAAACCUCUCUCCACCAAAAACAAAUGGAGCACUGAUGCGAGUUCUCUUGCUGGAAGGAAAAUACACAUCCACAUGAUGACCAAGGGACAAAAAGAGGCUAGGCUCCUUGGGG